rnacentral:rRNA from 1 species
AACGAACGCUGGCGGCAUGCCUAACACAUGCCAGUCGAACGAAGGCUUCGGCCUUAGUGGCGCACGGGUGCGUAACGCGUGGGAAUCUGCCCUUUGGUUCGGAAUAACAGCUGGAAACGGCUGCUAAUACCGGAUGAUGACGAAAGUCCAAAGAUUUAUCGCCAGAGGAUGAGCCCGCGUUGGAUUAGGUAGUUGGUGGGGUAAAGGCCUACCAAGCCGACGAUCCAUAGCUGGUCUGAGAGGAUGAUCAGCCACACUGGGACUGAGACACGGCCCAGACUCCUACGGGAGGCAGCAGUGGGGAAUAUUGGACAAUGGGCGCAAGCCUGAUCCAGCAAUGCCGCGUGAGUGAUGAAGGUCCUAGGGUUGUAAAGCUCUUUUACCCGGGAAGAUAAUGACUGUACCGGGAGAAUAAGCCCCGGCCAACUCCGUG